CCUACGGGAGGCAGCAGUGAGGAAUAUUGGUCAAUGGGCGGGAGCCUGAACCAGCCAAGCCGCGUGAGGGAAGAAGGUACAGCGUAUCGUAAACCUCUUUUGUCAGGGAACAAAGGCGAGGACUAGUCCCCGGAUGAGGGUACCUGAAGAAAUAGCAUCGGCUAACUCCGCGCCAGCAGCCGCGGUAAUACGGAGGAUGCAAGCGUUAUCCGGAUUUAUUGGUUUUAAAGGGGGCGCAGGCGGCCUGUUAAGUCAGCGGUAAAAGGCCGGGGCGCAACCCCGGCGAGCCGUUGAAACUGGCGGGCUGGAGUUGGAGAGAGGUACGCGGAAUGCGCGGUGUAGCGGUGAAAUGCUUAGCUAGCGCGCAGAACCCCGAUUGCGAAGGCAGCGUACCGGCUCCACACUGACGCUGAGGCACGAAAGCGUGGGUAUCGAACAGGAUUAGAUACCCGUGUAGUC
rnacentral:rRNA from 1 species